GCAGCGGCAACCAUGAUGCAAGUGCAAGUGGUUCCCAAAGAUCUUGGAAAGGUUCAAUUAAAGAGAGAAUGAGGAUAAUGAUGGGGUGAGUGAGGACAAGGAAGAUGGUCCAUCAAUGCAAGAUCAGCAAGAGGCACAAAUGCAAGUGGAAAAAGAGACGCAAAUUCAAGUGGAAAUGGACACACCGCCAAACGAUGGCAAUUUGGAGACCCGUAGAUCUGUACGGCUUGUCAAGAAGAAGACCAAGGACGUCAACAACCUAUACUUGUUGCUUAGAAAUCUGCGGAAAUGCCACAUGAAGAACUAAGGAUAUCAAGAUGCUUUUGGAUGUAUGCAAGCUUGGAGCUGCUGUUUUAUAGAAAUGGCGUGUGUAGAAAUAGAAUAACCAAGGAUAUAAAGAAGCUUUUGGAUAUAGGCAAGCUUGGAGCUGCUGUUUCAAUGUCAUGCUUUAAUGGUUGUCUUUUGGAGCUGUUGUUUCUAUCUGUAAUCCUUUUAAGUCUGUUGGCUGCACCGGACUAUUUAAAGUCUGAACUAUGCUGUGAUUGUUGAACUGAUGCUGGACUGUUAAGGGUUAUGUUGGAGGCAACUUUAUAACUAAUGUGUGCCUGUUAUGUUGGACAGAUGCAGUUUUAUUAAUCCCUAGAGCUUGUUUGAUGAAGUUUAUAUGAUCAAUUCUGA